rnacentral:rRNA from 1 species
UCGAGAAUCUUCGGCAAUGGGCGCAAGCCUGACCGAGCGACGCCGCGUGCGGGAUGAAGGCCUUCGGGUUGUAAACCGCUGUCGUAGGGGAGGAAGGUCUGGUGUAUAGCCAGGCUUGACCGAUCCUAGGAGGAAGGGCCGGCUAAUCUCGUGCCAGCAGCCGCGGUAAUACGAGAGGCCCAAACGUUAUUCGGAAUUACUGGGCUUAAAGAGUUCGUAGGCGGCGCAGAAAGUAGGGUGUGAAAGCCCUCGGCUCAACCGAGGAAUUGCGCUCUAAACUACUGUGCUCGAGGAACCUAGAGGUGAGCAGAACAGAUGGUGGAGCGGUGAAAUGCGUUGAUAUCAUCUGGAAUACCGGAGGCGAAGGCGGCUCACUGGGGGUUUUCUGACGCUGAGGAACGAAAGCCAGGGUAGCGAACGG